GCAAGAAAACUCAUAGCAGUGAACUGUAACAAAUGGAAGACUUGAUUUCAAUUGCAACACAUUCUUGGGAUUCAUGCUUUCAGGGACUCUGGAUGUUUUUGCCUGAGUGUGAAUGACACCGUUGCUCCAUUCUGACUUUUCUUUCUCAGAGACAAGGUCUAACUCUGUUCCCCAGGGUAGAGUGAAGCAGCGUGAUCAUGGCUCACUGUAUCCUGGACCUCCUGGGCUCAAGUGGAUCUUCCCACCUCAGCCUCUUGAGUAGCUGGGACUAUAGAUGGAGUUUCGCUCUGUCACUCAGGCUGGAGUGCAGUGGCGGGAUCUUGGCUUACUGCAACUUCUGCCUCCCAUGUUCAAGUGAUUCUCCUGCUUCAGCCUCCCAAGUGGCUGAGACCACAGGUGUGUACCAC
rnacentral:lncRNA from 1 species